rnacentral:tRNA from 1 species
AAGAUUUUAUGUUAAUAAACAAAUAACCUUCAAAGUUAUAAUUGAAAGUGUAAAUCUUUCAAGUCUUA